GUUCCGUAGUCGGACCUUGAUUGUAUCUGGAUGAUGUAAUGCUUAUUCAUGUAAUUGUGUGAAGUGGCGAUUGUAAGCCAACUAUGUAUCUCUUUCCCUUAUGUAUUGCAUGGGUUGUGUGAAGAUUACCUCACUUGCGACAUUGCUUUCAAUGCGGUUAUGCCUCUAAGUCGUGCUUCGACACGUGGGAGAUAUAGCCGCAUCGAGGGCGUUACACCUACCCUUUCCCUCAUAUGGGUAUAUGCCAUUGCUACCUCCAGAUUUUUUAUCCGCGCUAUUGAUGAUAUACUUUCUGCCGAUAUGAGCUAUUGAUGAUAAACUUGCUCUUUUUUUGUUUCCUCUACAUUAGUUCCUUUCAAUGCUUAGGUUCAGUUGGGCACUAAUGACUAUUUCGGGUGCUUUGAAAUUAGAUUUUGAUGAUAUUAAGGUCGUCAUCAAUCUACAUGAACAAAGGAGAGGUUUGCCUGAAUACUCGUAGCUAAAUUGGUUUUUCUCCCUGUGUUUCUUUUCUGGUCUUUUUUGUCUUUUGCAGUUGGUGUAUAUAUGUUCGGAAGCUAAAUUGAGUCUUGACUUUUAAGAAGAAAAAUACAUCGUUGCAGUAAUUGUACAGUUUAAACCUAUUAGUUCGUGGUGUAAGCACAUGUAUUAGUGAGUCAGUUUAGAGCUUGUACUAUUAGUUGUGCAUGUUAGCUCACUCCCCUGUCUCAACCCGGAGCCAGGCACCGAGUUAGACCUUGCCAACACACGAUCUCUUCUUCCUCAACUCCUCUGCUUUCUGCCUCCAGGUCCAGGUCGCUCUCCUCAGUGGUGCUACAUGAGUGAAGAUUUAUGUUUGCUACUGGAUCCGAAAUCCUUCAUCUUUGCUGAUGCUAUUCCCCUAUUUUUUCCCAUCACUUGACACUCUGAUCUCCUGAUUUUGGUCUCUGGUUUUUGAAAUGCAGAUAGUGGCCGCAGCGUUGCCGCUGGACGGCGCACACUGGAGCUCGAGUAUGCAGCCACGACAGAGCUGCUCGGACAUCACUGUAGGUGCACAGUGCGUUUUAUUCUGCAUAUCAUAAUACAACAUUGCGUGAUGGAGUCAUCAAUGGCAUCCAGAAGACCAGGGAAGCAUAUGACAAUAUUCCCAUCAUGGUGACUGGACAUUCCAUGGGAGGGACCAUGGCUUCGUUUUGUGUCCUUGAUCUUAUUGUGAGUGCUAAUAUUUGUCUGAAGAAAAUAUGCUUUCAUUUAUUUAGAAGUUUCUCUACUUUUCAUGAAUUCAUCCUCCUGCUAAAUUCUACUACAAGCUAUCCUUUUUUAAUGGAAUAGGGUGCAUUGUUGGGGAUUCCAUUCCUCCUCUGUUCUUAGUUUUAAUCGAUUCUUUCAUGUGUAUAAAAUGCAUUGAAAGAACUUCUAACAUGACUAAAAUCAUACUACAUAAUUACUGCACAGUUCUCAGACUGAACUCUCUUUACAUUUGACAGACUAGUUAUUGCUAAUAUUUUGUUGGGAAUGACAGCAAGUGUGGGCGAAUCAAGAACCUCAGUGAUAGUAUAAUUUGAUUUCUGUGCUGUUCUUCUGAAUACAAAAAUCUUAGACGAGGCAGAUGUAACUAUCUUUGUUCAUGUGUGGACAGUACACCUUCUGUAUAUCUGAACAGUGGCAUCAAGCAUAAGUAGUACUAGCGUCUGUUUUUGUCUAUCCUGAAAAGUACGACAUGCUUCUGAUUUUAGCCACCAUAUUGGGCUCGAUAGCCUAGUAUACCCGAUCGAGCAAAUCUGUGACGAUUCUGGUGAAGACCCCACUUGCAGCAGGUCUGUCAGUGGAAAUAGCGUGCAAGACCAUAUCCACUAUCUUGGCAUCAGCAUGCAUUCCGAGUCGCGGGGAUCAUGCAGGAUCGUCACGGAUGACAAUAUGCUCAGGUACAAAGUUGGCACUGUAGACGGUGCUAUUGUCUUCUCGAAGCAGCCUGGUUUAUCAGUUGAUCAGCUACUCAGUGCACAGUAAACAAGCUGAAGAUUACAUGGAUUUGUUUUUAUGGUUCUUUUCUGCCAAAGUACAAUAUUCUUGUUGGCAAUCAAAGCACUAUCUCAUGUAUAUAUACGCGCGUUAUCCUGGCUGGAUUAAAUUAUCAUAGCUGAGGGUGUAUUUCUGAAAUGUACAAACAUAUUUGUGCUGAUUAACUUGUUCAUAUUCUUGUAUAUAAUUUAAUUUAUUUAAGCAUGGCGGUUGCUUUCA